rnacentral:rRNA from 1 species
CAAUAGCGUAUAUUAAAGUUGUUGCAGUUAGAACGCUCGUAGUCGGAUUUCGGGGCGUUCCGACCGGUCUGCCGAUGGGUAUGCACUGGCCGGAGUGUCCUUUUUGCCGGAGACCGUGCCUACUCUUAACUGAGCGGGGGCGGGAGACGGCACUUUUACUUUGAAAAAAUCAGAGUGUUUCAAGCAGGCAGCUCGCUCUUGCAUGGAUUAGCAUGGGAUAAUGAAAUAGGACUUUGGUGCUAUUUUGUUGGUUUCGAACACCGAAGUAAUGAUGAGAAGGGACAGUCAGGGGCACUCGUAUUCCGCAGAGAGAGGUGAAAUUCUCAGACCCGCGGAAGACGAACCACUGCGAAAGCAUUUGCCAGGGAUGUUUNCACUGA